rnacentral:rRNA from 1 species
AUACAGAGGGUGCGAGCGUUAAUCGGAAUUACUGGGCGUAAAGCGCGCGUAGGCGGUCUAUUAAGUUAGAUGUGAAAUCCCAGGGCUCAACCUUGGAACUGCAUCUGAUACUGGUAGACUAGAGUUUUGGAGAGGGAAGUAGAAUUUCAGGUGUAGCGGUGAAAUGCAUAGAGAUCUGAAGGAAUACCAGUGGCGAAGGCGACUUCCUGGCCAAAAACUAACGCUGAGGUGCGAAAGCGUGGGUAGCAGACGGGAUUAGAAACCCCGGUAGUCC